UACGUAGGGUCCGAGCGUUGUCCGGAAUUACUGGGCGUAAAGAGCUCGUAGGUGGUUUGUCGCGUUGUCCGUGAAAACUCACAGCUCAACUGUGGGCGUGCGGGCGAUACGGGCAGACUGGAGUACUGCAGGGGAGACUGGAAUUCCUGGUGUAGCGGUGGGAUGCGCAGAUAUCAGGAGGAACACCGGUGGCGAAGGCGGGUCUCUGGGCAGUAACUGACGCUGAGGAGCGAAAGCGUGGGGAGCGAACAGG
rnacentral:rRNA from 1 species